CAGAAGAUAGUUAAACUUAGAAUCCUGGCUUUGGGAGUCAGGGGUGGGAGUUAAAAUCUCCCUCUUCUGG
rnacentral:tRNA from 1 species